rnacentral:lncRNA from 1 species
AAAAAAGGGGAACUACCACUGAGAACUAAGUUGUGACUGAGGAUGUCUUCCUGCAGAAUUCCUGUUCAUCCCUCAAAGCUCCUGCGAAAGAUUCACUCUCCCUGUCUUCUCAGAUGCUCCAGGAGGAUUUGAUCUCACUCACUGAGGAGUGGUCUGAACUUUUCUCAUAUGAUUAUGAACACAAGAAGAGGAGGCCAGACCAGUUAAAAGGCACACUGGAAAAAGUAAUAAAAUGAAAACAUGAUAGAAAAAUAAAGCUUCA